ACCCUUGCCGUGAUGAUAUCUAAGCAACACUUCAUCUGAAUAUUCUGAUGAAAUCAAGUUAACUAUAGUCUUUCGCUCCCAUCUGAGCUCCAUA
rnacentral:snoRNA from 1 species